rnacentral:misc_RNA from 1 species
GUGAGUCAUCGAAUCUUUGAACGCAUAUUGCACCCUCUGGUAUUCCGGGGGGUACACCUGUCCGAGCGCCAUUUCAACCCUCAAGCAUAGCUUGGUGUUGGGCAAGGUCCCCCGAUGGACCGGCCUGUAACUCUUUAGGCGGCAAGACGCCCGCUCCCCCAGCGUAGCAGGCUUACGCAUCCGCUCGGGGACGAGCUCUAGGUCCGCCUCUCAACCCCUUCAAAAGGUUGGCCUCGGAUCAGGUGGGGAUACCCGCUGAACUUAAGCAUAUCAAUAAGCGGAGGA